GAUGAACGCUAGCGGCAGGCCUAAUACAUGCAAGUCGAACGGUGUCUUCGGACAUAGUGGCGCACGGGUGCGUAACACGUAUGCAACCUACCUUACAUUGGGGGAUAGCCUUUCGAAAGGGAGAUUAAUACCGCAUAAGACAGUAGCUGGGCAUCCAGCAGCUGUUAAAGAUUUAUCGAUGUAAGAUGGGCAUGCGACCAAUUAGUUAGUUGGCGAGGUAACGGCUCACCAAGACUAUGAUUGGUAGGGGAACUGAGAGGUCAAUCCCCCACACUGGCACUGAGAUACGGGCCAGACUCCUACGGGAGGCAGCAGUAGGGAAUAUUGGGUAAUGGACGCAAGUCUGACCCAGCCAUGCCGCGUGCAGGAUGAAGGCGUUAUGCGUCGUAAACUGCUUUUAUACAGGAAGAAACGACUCUUGCGAGAGGCAUUGACGGUACUGUAUGAAUAAGCACCGGCUAACUCCGUGCCAGCAGCCGCGGUAAUACGGAGGGUGCAAGCGUUGUCCGGAUUUAUUGGGUUUAAAGGGUGCGCAGGUGGUUUAUUAAGUCAGUGGUGAAAGACGGUCGCUCAACGAUUGCAGUGCCAUUGAAACUAGUAGACUUGAGUAAAGUAGAGGUGGGCGGAAUUGAUAGUGUAGCGGUGAAAUGCAUAGAUAUUAUCAAGAACUCCAAUUGCGUAGGCAGCUCACUUGGCUUUUACUGACACUCAUGCACGAAAGUGUGGGUAUCAAACAGGAUUAGAUACCCUGGUAGUCCACACUGUAAACGAUGAUAACUAGGUGUCGGCCGAAUCUGGUCGGUGCCACAGCGAAAGCGUUAAGUUAUCCACCUGGGGAGUACGCCGGCAACGGUG
rnacentral:rRNA from 1 species